UUAACACAUGCAAGUCGAGGGGCAGCAUGAUCGAAGCUUGCUUGAUGAGUGGCGACCGGCGCGACGGGUGAGUAACGCGUAUCCAACCUUCCCUAUAGUAGAGGAUAGCCCGGCGAAAGUCGGAUUAAUACUCUAUGUUUUCCAAUGCAGACAUCUAAAAUGGAACAAAGGUUUACCGCUAUAGGAUGGGGAUGCGUCUGAUUAGAUAGUGGGCGGGGUAACGGCCCACCUAGUCGACGAUCAGUAGGGGUUCUGAGAGGAAGGUCCCCCACAUUGGAACUGAGACACGGUCCAAACUCCUACGGGAGGCAGCAGUGAGGAAUAUUGGUCAAUGGGCGAGAGCCUGAACCAGCCAAGGUUAAGGCGUGCAGGAUGACCGGCCCUAGUUGGGUUAGUAAACUGUCUUUUAGUACGGGGAUAAAGUGAGGGACGCGUCCCUUUUUGUAGGUACCGUAUGAAUAAGGACCGGCUAAUUCCGUGCCAGCCGCAGC
rnacentral:rRNA from 1 species